rnacentral:rRNA from 1 species
CUCUGAGAUUUUUUAGGGGGGGCGGGGAGCUGCUCCUGGUGGCGAGCGGCGGACGGGUGAGUAAUGCAUAGGAAUCUGCCCGGUAGUGGGGGAUAACGUGGGGAAACCCACGCUAAUACCGCAUACGUCCUACGGGAGAAAGCGGAGGCUCUUCGGACUUCGCGCUAUCGGAUGAGCCUAUGUCGGAUUAGCUGGUUGGUAAGGUAACGGCUUACCAAGGCGACGAUCCGUAGCUGGUCUGAGAGGAUGAUCAGCCACACUGGGACUGAGACACGGCCCAGACUCCUACGGGAGGCAGCAGUGGGGAAUAUUGGACAAUGGGCGAAAGCCUGAUCCAGCCAUGCCGCGUGUGUGAAGAAGGCUUUCGGGUUGUAAAGCACUUUCAGCGAGGAAAGAAAGCCUUUGGGGUAAUACCCCAGAGGAAGGACAUCACUCGCAGAAAAAAGCACCGGCUAAACUCCGUGCCAGCAGCCGCGGUAAUACCGGAGGGUGCGAGCGUUAAUCGGAAUUACUGGGCGUAAAGCGCGCGUAGGUGGCUUGGCACGCCGGUUGUGAAAGCCCCGGGCUCAACCUGGGAACGGCAUCCGGAACGGCCAGGCUAGAGUGCAGGAGAGGAAGGUAGAAUUCCCGGUGUAGCGGUGAAAUGCGUAGAGAUCGGGAGGAAUACCAGUGGCGAAGGCGGCCUUCUGGCCUGACACUGACACUGAGGUGCGAAAGCGUGGGUAGCAAACAGGAUUAGAUACCCUGGUAGUCCACGCCGUAAACGAUGUCGACUAGCCGUUGGGACCUUUAAGGACUUAGUGGCGCAGUUAACGCGAUAAGUCGACCGCCUGGGGAGUACGGCCGCAAGGUUAAAACUCAAAUGAAUUGACGGGGGCCCGCACAAGCGGUGGAGCAUGUGGUUUAAUUCGAUGCAACGCGAAGAACCUUACCUACCCUUGACAUCCUGCGAACCCGGAAGAGAUUCCGGGGUGCCUUCGGGAACGCAGUGACAGGUGCUGCAUGGCUGUCGUCAGCUCGUGUUGUGAAAUGUUGGGUUAAGUCCCGUAACGAGCGCAACCCUUGUCCUUAUUUGCCAGCGAUUCGGUCGGGAACUCUAAGGAGACUGCCGGUGACAAACCGGAGGAAGGUGGGGACGACGUCAAGUCAUCAUGGCCCUUACGGGUAGGGCUACACACGUGCUACAAUGGCCGGUACAAAGGGUUGCGAGACCGCGAGGUGGAGCGAAUCCCAGAAAGCCGGCCUCAGUCCGGAUCGGAGUCUGCAACUCGACUCCGGAAGUCGGAAUCGCUAGUAAUCGGAAUCAGAAGUACACCUAGAAAAUAUAUC